rnacentral:lncRNA from 1 species
GAAUGGCAUGUGCACAUAUUGGUGCCAUGCUUUUGAAGCGUUGAUGCAGACUAACAAGCAUUUGUGUCGUAAAGCAAUAAAAAGGUAUUGUAUAUACAUGUUUCUAGCCUUUUUCCUAUUUUCAUUCCCAUUUGUUUAUCCGGGCACUUGCUAAUCUUACAAGCUAUCUAUUGUAUAUUGUCAUGAUGCCUUUGUUGCAUUGAGAUAUACACUGAGGUGAUACCAUGUUGAUUUGCAUGUAGGGUUCUGAAAGGAAUGAAAUUACGAGGCAAUGUUGAUUUGCAUGUUAUGCAUCUUGACCAACUUAUUUGAUGAUGUUUAACUCCUGAUUCUCUCAUUCUUCUGUACCAGUUGCUAAAUGAGGCUGGUUUCUCCUGUCAAUUAUAGGUGUAAAAUAAAGUCACAAUAUGACCAAGCAAUGAAAAAAAUGCUACCUUCAUAUGAUUGUCAAUCUUUUUAACUAACCGUCUCAUGCAAUGGAGUAAAUGUAUUCACAGCAUGAUGUGCACAUACUCACAUCUAUAGUAGC